rnacentral:rRNA from 1 species
GAUGAACGCUGGUUGCGUGCCUAAUACAUGCAAGUCGAGCGAACGGACGAGAAGCUUGCUUCUCUGAUGUUAGCGGCGGACGGGUGAGUAACACGUGGAUAACCUACCUAUAAGACUGGGAUAACUUCGGGAAACCGGAGCUAAUACCGGAUAAUAUUUUGAACCGCAUGGUUCAAAAGUGAAAGACGGUCUUGCUGUCACUUAUAGAUGGAUCCGCGCUGCAUUAGCUAGUUGGUAAGGUAACGGCUUACCAAGGCAACGAUGCAUAGCCGACCUGAGAGGGUGAUCGGCCACACUGGAACUGAGACACGGUCCAGACUCCUACGGGAGGCAGCAGUAGGGAAUCUUCCGCAAUGGGCGAAAGCCUGACGGAGCAACGCCGCGUGAGUGAUGAAGGUCUUCGGAUCGUAAAACUCUGUUAUUAGGGAAGAACAUAUGUGUAAGUAACUGUGCACAUCUUGACGGUACCUAAUCAGAAAGCCACGGCUAACUACGUGCCAGCAGCCGCGGUAAUACGUAGGUGGCAAGCGUUAUCCGGAAUUAUUGGGCGUAAAGCGCGCGUAGGCGGUUUUUUAAGUCUGAUGUGAAAGCCCACGGCUCAACCGUGGAGGGUCAUUGGAAACUGGAAAACUUGAGUGCAGAAGAGGAAAGUGGAAUUCCAUGUGUAGCGGUGAAAUGCGCAGAGAUAUGGAGGAACACCAGUGGCGAAGGCGACUUUCUGGUCUGUAACUGACGCUGAUGUGCGAAAGCGUGGGGAUCAAACAGGAUUAGAUACCCUGGUAGUCCAUGCCGUAAACGAUGAGUGCUAAGUGUUAGGGGGUUUCCGCCCCUUAGUGCUGCAGCUAACGCAUUAAGCGCUCCGCCUGGGGAGUACGACCGCAAGGUUGAAACUCAAAGGAAUUGACGGGGACCCGCACAAGCGGUGGAGCAUGUGGUUUAAUUCGAAGCAACGCGAAGAACCUUACCAAAUCUUGACAUCCUUUGACAACUCUAGAGAUAGAGCCUUCCCCUUCGGGGGACAAAGUGACAGGUGGUGCAUGGUUGUCGUCAGCUCGUGUCGUGAGAUGUUGGGUUAAGUCCCGCAACGAGCGCAACCCUUAAGCUUAGUUGCCAUCAUUAAGUUGGGCACUCUAAGUUGACUGCCGGUGACAAACCGGAGGAAGGUGGGGAUGACGUCAAAUCAUCAUGCCCCUUAUGAUUUGGGCUACACACGUGCUACAAUGGACAAUACAAAGGGCAGCGAAACCGCGAGGUCAAGCAAAUCCCAUAAAGUUGUUCUCAGUUCGGAUUGUAGUCUGCAACUCGACUACAUGAAGCUGGAAUCGCUAGUAAUCGUAGAUCAGCAUGCUACGGUGAAUACGUUCCCGGGUCU